GAUGAACGCUGGCGGCGUGCUUAACACAUGCAAGUCGAACGAAGCAUUUGCGACAGAUUUUUUCGGAAUGAAGUUGCUUAUGACUGAGUGGCGGACGGGUGAGUAACACGUGGGUAACCUGCCUUGUACUGGGGGAUAGCAGCUGGAAACGGCUGGUAAUACCGCAUAAGCGCACAAUGUUGCAUGACAUGGUGUGAAAAACUCCGGUGGUAUAAGAUGGACCCGCGUCUGAUUAGCUAGUUGGUGAGAUAACAGCCCACCAAGGCGACGAUCAGUAGCCGACCUGAGAGGGUGACCGGCCACAUUGGGACUGAGACACGGCCCAGACUCCUACGGGAGGCAGCAGUGGGGAAUAUUGCACAAUGGAGGAAACUCUGAUGCAGCGACGCCGCGUGAGUGAAGAAGUAAUUCGUUAUGUAAAGCUCUAUCAGCAGGGAAGAUAGUGACGGUACCUGACUAAGAAGCUCCGGCUAAAUACGUG
rnacentral:rRNA from 1 species